AGAGACAGAGGACCCAGUGGUGGACAUUUUAUCCUCUGAUGCCCCCAUGAGAGUGGCCCUCCCCUUUAUACGGACGAUCCAGGCCAAUGCCAAUACGAUCUGGCAGUCUCUGGCCUCGGUCCCACCUGCUGCCUGGAAAGGCGUCGAGAGAAAGA